GUCCCUGUGGUGUAGUGGUAUCAUGCAAGAUUCCCAUUCUUGUAGACCGGGUUUGAUUCCCAGCUGGUGUU